GGGAACUAUUCUACAACCAACUAGCAGGACACGCUCUCCAACCCUUAUGACUUCACGUCUGCAACUCCUCAAAGCCAACCAAAGCUAUCUGGCCACUCUGUCCACCGGGGACCUGAAAUUUUAAUCCCACAACCGAGAUGAGACGAUGUCUCAGCAAGUUCAACCCCCUAAACCCCUAUUAGAAAGAAAAUACGCCCCGGGUGGCCUAGCCACAUCACACAGAAGACUUACCUCGUCUUAGCCUUCAUCUGCAGGUUAGCACAAUUUAUGUAAUUCAACCACGUACAAUUAUGAUAACCAAACAACCAUGGCACAAUCACAUUGUCAAACAAUUCAACCACUUGGAUCGUCUCAGCGAUCAAUCGACUUGGCCGAUUACAUGUCAUUCUAGCAAAUUAAUCAUUGCUCUCAACUACGGCCCUACUCGGCAAAUUUGAAUCAGUGGCAUCACGGCCCCACUCGGCGCGACCUUUAUCAGGUGGCAAUUCACGGCCCCAUUGGGCGCGACCUUUAUCAGGUGGCAUAUCACGGCCCCACUGGGCGCGACCUCUAGUAGGUGGCAUAUCACGGCCCCACUGGGCGCGACCUCUAGUAGGUGGCAUAUCACGGCCUCAUCGGGCACGACCUCUAGUAGGUGGUAUAUCACGGCCUCAUCGGGCACGACCUCUACUAGGUGGUAUUUCACGGCCUCAUCGGGCACGACCUCUAAUAGGUGGUAUUUCACGGCCUCAUCGGGCACGACCUCUAAUAGGUGGUUUAUCACGGCCAAUCUCCCAUCAAUUUCUACACUUAGGAUUUUAUAAAGAAUCCUCAUAAAUCGAAAUCACAUUCAAUUCGCCACAACCAAUCAUCAAUUUCAAAUUCUACAAGCAUAGCAACGAUCGGCACGAAAUUCUGAGCAAAUAAGGUCCCAAUGAAAAUUUUCGGAAUUUAAUAGAUAAUUAAAUUUAUUCCGAAAAUUAAUUAAAUAAUAAUAUCCAUAGUUUUCGAAAUCCACACUCAAUUUAUAAUAUCCAAUCAUCAAUUUCAAAAUCCGACUACACAGCAACGACCGGCACGAAAUUCUGAGAAUUUAAGGUCUCGACAAAAUUUUCGGAAUUUAAUAAAUAAUUUAAUUUAUUCCGAAAAUAAUUAAAUAAUAAUAUUUUAUUAAUUUCGAAUAAAAUAUAUUAUUAAAUUAUAUAAUAAUUUCGAGACAUUUAAAUAAAUCAAAAGUAAAAUUCAUUUAUGUCAAAUCAAGGCUUAUUUUAAAUAAACCUACUUACCCUUAAUUAAGCACACUUUAAAUUAAACCACAACCUUAAUCAAAUCUACUCUUAAUUAACCUAAACUAACAACCUAAUAAUGCUUAACAUAAACUAAACCUCCCUAAGCAUAAUUAACCCUCUAAGCGAGGUUUAGUGAGCUAAACUCACCGGAUUAGCGAGCCGAGCGGACCAAAACGACGGGGACGCCGAGGAGAACAACUUUCCUCAAAGCGGGCCGAGCAUCCGGGCUCGGGAAGUCGGCCAAAACGGGCCAAACAUCGGCUGCCAUACCCAUUUUCUGGGUUGCUGAUCGGGGCCGAGAGGGAGCAGAUCCGGCGCCGGUUCGGGCGGCCAAGGGCGGCGGAGGCAAGGCGAAGCUCCGGCGGGCUAAGGCGGGGGCGCACGACGGCUCACGGUGGCUGAUCCGCGACCUAGGCUGGUCGGACAGCCUCCCAAACGUGAAGACGAGCGAGGACGACGGCGAACGAGGGAAGAGCAACGGCGUGAGCGGGCGAAGGAGAACCGGCGACGAGCUGGCUUCGGCGGCUUCGGCGGUUCCGGCGACGGGCGACGAGCGGCGAAGGAGGCGAACGACGAGGGGCUGCUUCGGCUUCUUCCUCUGCAAAUUUUCUGGUCUUUCGC
rnacentral:lncRNA from 1 species